ACCUGGUUGAUCCUGCCAGUAAUAUAUGCUUGUCUCAAAGAUUAAUCCAUGCAUGUCUAAGUAUAAAUAGUAUACCUUAAAACUGCAAAUGGCUCAUUAAAACAGUUACAGUUUAUUUGAUAAUCAAGCGCUACAUGGAUAACCGUGGUAAUCCUAGAGCUAAUACAUGCUGAUAGCCCGGCUUCACGUCGCGGUUGUAUUUAUUAGAUAUUAAACCAAUAUGUUAAUAGCAUUUUGAAGGAAUUACAGUAACUGAUCGAAUCCUUAUUCGUUAAGGAUAAAUCAUUCAAGUUUCUGCCCUAUCAGCUUUCGAUGGUAGUGUAUUGGACUACCAUGGCGGUUACGGGUAACGGAGAAUUAGUGUUCGAUUCCGGAGAGGGAGCCUGAGAAACGGCUACCACAUCUAAGGAAGGCAGCAGGAGCGUAAAUUACCCAAUGUCGACUCGAUGAGCGUAGUGACAAUACAUAACAAAGAGGGGAUUUAUUAUCUUACUCUAUUGCAAUGAGGCAUGUUUAAUAACCUGUUCGAGCAACCAGUGAAGGGCAAGUCUGGUGCCAGCAGCCGCGGUAAUUCCAGCUUCACGAGUGUAUAUUUAAGUUGUUGCAGUUAAAAAGCUCGUAGUUGAACUUCUGUUCGUCCAGGAGGUGUGCAAACAUCACCUGGGUGAGCAUCCGCCUGAAAAAUCAUUUGGAUCUUCACUGAUUCAAUGAUGGAUC
rnacentral:rRNA from 1 species